AUUGAACGCUGGCGGCAGGCCUAACACAUGCAAGUCGAGCGGAUGAAGGGAGCUUGCUCCUGGAUUCAGCGGCGGACGGGUGAGUAAUGCCUAGGAAUCUGCCUGGUAGUGGGGGAUAACGUCCGGAAACGGGCGCUAAUACCGCAUACGUCCUGAGGGAGAAAGUGGGGGAUCUUCGGACCUCACGCUAUCAGAUGAGCCUAGGUCGGAUUAGCUAGUUGUUGGGGUAAAGGCCUACCAAGGCGACGAUCCGUAACUGGUCUGAGAGGAUGAUCAGUCACACUGGAACUGAGACACGGUCCAGAUUCCUACGGGAGGCAGCAGUGGGGAAUAUUGGACAAUGGGCGAAAGCCUGAUCCAGCCAUGCCGCGUGUGUGAAGAAGGUCUUCGGAUUGUAAAGCACUUUAAGUUGGGAGGAAGGGCAGUAAGUUAAUACCUUGCUGUUUUGACGUUACCAACAGAAUAAGCACCGGCUAACUUCGUG
rnacentral:rRNA from 1 species